rnacentral:rRNA from 1 species
UACGUAGGGGGCGAGCGUUGUCCGGAGUUACUGGGCGUAAAGCGCACGCAGGCGGUCGUGUCAGUUUGGGGUUACAGCUCCCGGCUCAACCGGGAGAGCGCCUCGAAGACGGCAGGACUUGAGGGCCAGAGAGGGACACAGAAUUCCGGGUGGAGUGGUGAAAUGCGUAGAUAUCCGGAGGAAUACCAAAGGCGAAGGCAGUGUCCUGGCUGGUACCUGACGCUGAGGUGCGAAAGCUAGGGGAGCGAACGG